rnacentral:lncRNA from 1 species
GUUCGGAUGCGUGGGAAAGGAGCUCGGAUGGAUUCAAAAUCCGCGCGGAACGACGGGAGAAGAGGGGGAUUCGUUAGGGUUUUGGGCGGAGGUCUAGGGUUUGAAAGAGAGAAAAAAAGGGAGGAAGGGAAGCGAAGGAAGGGCAGAGACGCGAGAGGAAGAGAGAGAGAGGGGAGAGGGGCUGGGCCGGUGGCGUUCUCUUUCUUUUCGCUCGCUGGCUCGACUACUCGAACGCCAAUGCCCGAGCAUACGAAUUGUUUACAAAACAGACCAUUA